UCCGGUUUGGCACCGGCAGUCCCCCGAGAGUCCUCAGCAUGACCUGUUAGCAACACGGGGCGGGGGUUGCGCUCGUUGCGGGACUUAACCCAACAUCUCACGACACGAGCUGACGACAGCCAUGCAGCACCUAGUUUCGUGUCCUUGCGGAAGGCUCCCUUUCAGGAGCGGUCACUAACUUUCAAGCCCAGGUAAGGUUCCUCGCGUAUCAUCGAAUUAAACCACAUGCUCCUCCGCUUGUGCGGGCCCCCGUCAAUUCCUUUGAGUUUCAACCUUGCGGUCGUACUCCCCAGGUGGAUCACUUAAUGGUUUCCCUUAGACGCUGACUGUGUAUCGCCAACAUCGAGUGAUCAUCGUUUAGGGCGUGGACUAC
rnacentral:misc_RNA from 1 species